GGGGGUGUUUAUGGAUUCGACGGGAAUAGUUCGGGCAUCAGAAGCGAGCCGUGGGGUCGGCCACGUUAAAACGCAACCGCCAAUAAUAACUGGCAAACAAAACACACAACUAGCUGCUGCCUAAGCACCAGCUGCUCUACCACACAAUCGCCCAUGUUGUGUGACUAGGGCUCACCUACCGUGGGAUACGCCUAAGGCUUCCGUCUGGAGCUAAGGGAAGAGAACCAAUCAGACUAGCUUCAUAAGUAGGUUGUCACUUGCCAGCUCAUGAAGCGAAUCUCCCUCAGGUGACUGCGCUCGGAGAAACUGAUGUUGCGUUAUUUUCGGACAGGGGUUCGACUCCCCUCACCUCCACCA
rnacentral:tmRNA from 1 species